rnacentral:misc_RNA from 1 species
CGCCAGGAAGGUAGAAGCAGCGAGCGCCAUGGAUCAGAAGCGCAAGUAUCGCGCAUAUCGUCGUCAUUAAUGGAGGUAAAGAUCUUCGUCCUCGAGGCUCCAUGGCGUUUUCUGCGAAAUGGAAAGUGAGAGAAGGAAAAAAAAUGUAGAACGAGGCUAGAUCUAGAGUGGUGAUUUUGUCCGUUGCGCGAUUGAGGGAGAGCGAGAC